GAUGAAGAACGCAGCGAAAUGCGAUAAGUAAUGUGAAUUGCAGAAUUCAGUGAAUCAUCGAAUCUUUGAACGCACAUUGCGCCCGCUAGUAUUCUGGCGGGCAUGCCUGUCCGAGCGUCAUUUCAACCUUCAAGCCCCCGGGCUUGGUGUUGGGGAUCGGCGAGCCUCCGCGCCCGCCGUCCCCUAAAUCUAGUGGCGGUCUCGCUGUAGCUUCCUCUGCGUAGUAGCACACCUCGCACUGGGAAACAGCGCGGCCACGCCGUUAAACCCCCAACUUCUGAACGUUUGACCUCGGAUCAGGUAGGAAUACCCGCUGAACUUAAGCAUAUCAAUAAGCGGAGGA
rnacentral:misc_RNA from 1 species